UACGUAGGGGGCAAGCGUUGUCCGGAAUCAUUGGGCGUAAAGAGCGUGUAGGCGGCCCGAUAAGUCCGCCGUGAAAGUCCAGGGCUCAACCCUGGAAUGCCGGUGGAAACUGUCGGGCUGGAGUCCGGAAGAGGCGAGUGGAAUUCCUGGUGUAGCGGUGAAAUGCGCAGAUAUCAGGAGGAACACCAAUGGCGAAGGCGGCUCUCUGGGACGGUACUGACGCUGAGGCGCGAAAGCGUGGGGAGCAAACAGG
rnacentral:rRNA from 1 species